rnacentral:rRNA from 1 species
UAAGCGGAGGAGAAGAAACUAACCAGGAUUUCCCUAGUAACGGCGAGCGAACCGGAAAGAGCCCAGCUUGAAAAUCGUGGUCCCUCGGACCUCGAAUUGUAGUCUGGAGACGCAUCCUCUGCAACGCACCGGACCCAAGUUCCCUGGAAAGGGACGUCAGAGAGGGUGACAACCCCGUCGAGUCUGGACCGUGUUGCUCCACGAGGUGUGGUCGUCGAGUCGGACUGUUUGGGAAUGCAGUCCUAAGCGGGUGGUAAAUUCCAUCCAAGGCUAAAUAUUGGCAAGAGACCGAUAGCGAACAAGUACCGCGAGGGAAAGAUGAAAAGGACUUUGAAAAGAGAGUUAAAAAGUGCUUGAAAUUGCUGGGAGGGAAGCGAAUGGAAGCUGCGGGUGUGCCCCGGUUGGAUGUGGAACGGCUUGCGCUGGUCCGCCGCUCAACGCGGGGCACUGGUCAGCGUGGGCCAUCGCGGCGGGACAAGAGCAGGGUGUAGUUCCCUGCCUAUGCCGUUGCGGUGGCCGAGGAACGAAGCGCGCGGGGGCUCGCCCCCGUGGGACCCCGGUCCCAACUGCGCGCUCGGGACGCUGGCGUAUUGAGCUCUUCAUCCGACCCGUCUUGAAACACGGACCAAGGAGUCUAACAUGUAUGCGAGCCGGUGGGCGGCAAACCCAUUGAGGCGCAAGGAAACUGACAGGUGGGACCCCUCGUAAAACAAGGGAGCACCAUCGACCGACCGUGAUCUUCUGUGAAAGGUUCGAGUGUGAGCAUACCUGUUGGGACCCGAAAGAUGGUGAACUAUGCCUGAGCAGGGCGAAGCCAGAGGAAACUCUGGUGGAGGCUCGUAGCGAUACUGACGUGCAAAUCGUUCGUCAGACUUGGGUAUAGGGGCGAAAGACUAAUCGAACCAUCUAGUAGCUGGUUCCCUCCGAAGUUUCCCUCAGGAUAGCUGGAGCUCGUGUAAAAGUUUUAUCAGGUAAAGCGAAUGAUUAGAGGCAUCGGGGGUGUAACACCCUCGACCUAUUCUCAAACUUUAAAUAGGUAAGCCGCCGGGGUUGCUUGGUUGAACCCCGGCACAGAAUGAGAGCUCCAAGUGGGCCAU